rnacentral:rRNA from 1 species
UGAACGCUGGCGGCGUGCCUAAUACAUGCACGUCGAGCGAACAGACGAGGAGCUUGCUCCUCUGACGUUAGCGGCGGACGGGUGAGUAACACGUGGAUAACCUACCUAUAAGACUGGGAUAACUUCGGGAAACCGGAGCUAAUACCGGAUAAUAUAUUGAACCGCAUGGUUCAAUAGUGAAAGACGGUUUUGCUGUCACUUAUAGAAGGAUCCGCGCCGCAUUAGCUAGUUGGUAAGGUAACGGCUUACCAAGGCAACGAUGCGUAGCCGACCUGAGAGGGUGAUCGGCCACACUGGAACUGAGACACGGUCCAGACUCCUACGGGAGGCAGCAGUAGGGAAUCUUCCGCAAUGGGCGAAAGCCUGACGGAGCAACGCCGCGUGAGUGAUGAAGGUCUUCGGAUCGUAAAACUCUGUUAUUAGGGAAGAACAAAUGUGUAAGUAACUAUGCACGUCUUGACGGUACCUAAUCAGAAAGCCACGGCUAACUACGUG